rnacentral:rRNA from 1 species
GACGAACGCUGGCGGCGUGCCUAAUACAUGCAAGUCGAGCGAUGAAGUCUGGUGCUUGCACCAAUUUGAAGAGCAGCCGACGGGUGCGUAACGUGUGGUGAAUCUGCCUCUGCGCGGGGGAUACCAUUUGGAAACGAUUGCUAAUACCGCAUAAUAUCUUUAAACUUAAGUUUUAAGUUUGAAAGAUGCAAUUGCAUCACUCAAAGAUGAUCCCGCGUUGUAUUAGCUAGUUGGUGAGGUAAAGGCUCACCCAGGCGAUGAUACAUAGCACACCUGAGAGGGGAAUCUGCAACAUUGGGACUGAGACACGGCCAAAACCCCUGGGAGGGGCAGCAGUAGGGAAUCUUCGGCGAUGGACGAAAGUCUGACCGAUGAACGCCGCGUGAGUGAAGAAGGUUUCCGGGUCGUAAAACUCUUUUGGUAGAGAAGGACGUUAAUGGGUGUUGAAAGCUCAGCUAGUGACGGUAACUGCACAAAAAGGUACGGCUAACUACGUG